GACGAACGCUGGCGGCGUGCUUAACACAUGCAAGUCGAACGAAGAGCGAUGGAAGCUUGCUUCUAUCAAUCUUAGUGGCGAACGGGUGAGUAACGCGUAAUCAACCUGCCCUUCAGAGGGGGACAACAGUUGGAAACGACUGCUAAUGCCGCAUACGAUCUGACCUCGGCAUCGAGGAUAGAUGAAAGGUGGCCUCUAUUUAUAAGCUAUCACUGAAGGAGGGGAUUGCGUCUGAUUAGCUAGUUGGAGGGGUAACGGCCCACCAAGGCGAUGAUCAGUAGGCGGACUGGAGGGAUGGACGGCCCACUUUGGAAUGGAGCACCGCCCAGAACCCUUCGGGGGGGAGCAGGUGGGAAACUUCCGACAAGGGCGAAAAGCUGGAGGAGCAACGCCGGGGGGGUGAUGGAGGCCUUCCGGUUGGAAAGCUCCGUUUGUCAGGGAGAAAGGCCUUCUUGCGAAUAGGUUGAAGGAUUGACGGUACCGGACCAGAAAGCCACGGCUAACUACGUG
rnacentral:rRNA from 1 species